UCGUUGACAGUGCAGCAUGGCCUUUAAGACUGAUGUGUGUAGUGCGCGACAUGGUGUGGUGGUCAGAAAGGACAGAAGCGGACUACAAGGAGUGCGCGCGCCGAGGCGAAUUCCGUGCUGGAGAGAAAACGACAACGCUGAAGAGCGUCCCGCACGUGAACGUGCGGCGCAAGAAAAGAAGCUAUAAGGAAAAAGCAACCCAAGUAGGAGAAACCAUGGAGCGUCAAACAGCCAAUCAGAAAAUGACUAAUUGGCCAGAGCGGAAGAAAAAGCGAGGCACGCUGGCAGAAGGGGGAGACGCCGGGAGAGUUCCAGGAAGCGACGCCUGGAGAAGGUCGGCCACCGGACCGGGACCACCAGGACUUCACCCGACCGGGGCUUCCUGUCAACCGUUCCUGUGCGACGUCUGUCUUCCCGAGCAUGCUGCCAGCUGCUCAAGGCCGGCGAGCUUCUGCGCCCGUGGGCAGGACGAGAGCAGUUGGGUUACGGGCCCGAGUUCUACGCCCAGCUGCCCGGCGAGAACGCCGCCGCCAUCUACUCGUGCCGCCAAGCUGCCUGCCUUCUAUCUCCGAGCCAGAGCAAAGGCGCUCUGGUCGCCCGGUCAACCAUCCUAUUACCCGACCUUUGGUGAGACUGGCGCAACUCCUUUCAUCAACUUGUCGCUGCGUCUCCACGUCGAGACUGUUAUGCGUUUCUGCCGUCGUGGCAAGCCCGGACCCGUGUAUUGUUAACUUCAUACUAGCCCCAAGUGCGUUUCUUACUGCCGUGAUGUCUGUUUAAGUGUUUGUUUUUUGCUUUCUAUCUCCUUCUAUUUAUUUUAAGCCUCUUUCUAGUUUCAUUAAAAGUUUGUGUGUGCGCGUUUGAAACCAACGGCUUUGUCCUCAAUUGGGUUCUUGGAGGCUCCGCCUCAGAGAACCGUCAGAAUCUUUGAGCACAAGAAACUGCAUCACAGAGACCAAAGCUAUUUUUCUGUCUCUCAGGUCAAUGCUCUGCAGCU
rnacentral:lncRNA from 1 species